CCUACGGGAGGCAGCAGUGAGGAAUAUUGGUCAAUGGACGAGAGUCUGAACCAGCCAAGUAGCGUGAAGGAUGACUGCCCUAUGGGUUGUAAACUUCUUUUAUAUGGGAAUAAAACGUUCCAUGCGUGGGAUUUUGUAUGUACCAUAUGACUUAGGAUCGGCUAACUCCGUGCCAGCAGCCGCGGUAAUACGGAGGAUCCGAGCGUUUUCCGGAUUUAUUGGGUUUAAAGGGAGCGUAGGUGGAUUGUUAAGUCAGUUGUGAAAGUUUGCGGCUCAACCGUAAAAUUGCAGUUGAAACUGGCAGUCUUGAGUACAGUAGAGGUGGGCGGAAUUCGUGGUGUAGCGGUGAAAUGCGUAGAUAUCACGAAGAACUCCGAUUGCGAAGGCAGUUCACUGGACUGCAACUGACACUGAGGCUCGAAAGUGUGGGUAUCAAACAGGAUUAGAUACCCUGGUAGUC
rnacentral:rRNA from 1 species